ACCUACCUUGCAGUGAGGAAUACCGGCGAGAAAUCGCCGACAAGACCGCAUACGCUUGCUGCUUCGCUGCAGCAAGGAAAGCUUUCUUUCGGGAAGGCGCUGGAAGAUGGGCCCGCGGCCGAUUAGCUAGCUGGUGGGGUAACGGCCUACCAGGGCGACGAUCGGUAGCUGGUCUGAGAGGACGAUCAGCCACACUGGGAUUGAGAACGGCCCAG
rnacentral:rRNA from 1 species